rnacentral:misc_RNA from 1 species
AACCAUUCUCACCUGCGGCUAGACCUGCGGAGGGAUCAUUAAAAAAAUCUUUUGCCCGCGGACCUUUUGUCGUCCAAGGCGCAAAAAGACCCACACCUGUGUGCACUGUUAUCGUUUCUUUGGCAGGGGCUUGGGUGGAAUUUUUUUUCCCUCAACUUCUCCUUCGGCUCUAUCCUUUCUCUCGGGGGGAGGACAGCUGGACAUGGGAAGCAGUUUACCCUGCCAAGUAAACCUCAAACA